GAACUCUUCACACCAAUGGUAAAAAUAAGGCAAUGUUCUGUGAACACAUUCUUUCCUUCAGUGUUUUAAAAGUAUUACUCCAUUUUCUGCCAACAUUGAAUAUUGCUGUGAAGAAGUCUGAGGCCAUCACUGUUUUCUCCUCUUAUAGUGACUUUAUCUUUUUACCUAUGUGCCCCCAAAAUUCUUCAGCUUUAAAUCUAGAAACUUUAUAAGGAGAUUUUAAUAUGACUGUUCUAUGCCAAUUUUUUCCUCACUUGAUGAUAAUAGCAAAAGUACCAGAUUGAGGAAAUAGGCUCACUGCCCCUAAAAAUAGAAAAAUUCAACAGACUUACUACUAAUUCCUAAUGACAAUAAAUGAAUAAAAAACAAAUGUUAAAAGAACUCAUGGGCUAAAAUAAAUUUGUAACAUAUAUAAUGUACAGAGUUGAUAUUUUUAAAGUAAAAAAGAAUUUAAACCAAUUGUUACAAAAAAAAGUAAGCUAUCUCAAUGGACAAAGGAAAGGUCCAUCCAUGACAGAAAAAAACUACAGAAAAUCUAGAAAGAUGACCAGUCUCACUAGUAAUAAAGUGAAAAUUAAAAAUAAAUUAAGAGACUGGGAAAGUUAUCAAA
rnacentral:lncRNA from 1 species